UGGGGAAUAUUGCACAAUGGGGGAAACCCUGAUGCAGCGACGCCGCGUGAACGAAGAAGGUAUUCGUAUCGUAAAGUUCUGUCCUAUGGGAAGAUAAUGACAGUACCAUAGAAUAAAGCUCCGGCUAAAUACGUGCCAGCAGCCGCGGUAAUACGUAUGGAGCGAGCGUUGUCCGGAAUUAUUGGGCGUAAAGGGUACGCAGGCGGUUUAAUAAGUCGAAUGUUAAAGAUCGGGGCUCAACCCCGUAAAGCAUUGGAAACUGAUAAACUUGAGUAGUGGAGAGGAAAGUGGAAUUCCUAGUGUAGUGGUGAAAUACGUAGAUAUUAGGAGGAAUACCAGUAGCGAAGGCGACUUUCUGAACACAAACUGACGCUGAGGUACGAAAGCGUGGGGAGCAAACAGG
rnacentral:rRNA from 1 species